rnacentral:tRNA from 1 species
GCUGAGGUGGCGAAAUUGGCAGACGCGCACGCUUGAGGGGCGUGUUCUUACAUGAUGAAUGCGGGUUCAAGUCCCGCUCUCAGCA